UGCCAGCAGCCGCGGUAAUACAGAGGGUGCAAACGUUGCUCGGAUUUACUGGGCGUAAAGCGCGUGUAGGCGGACUCGCAAGUCGGUUGUGAAAGCCCGGGGCUCAACCCCGGAAGUGCAUUGGAUACUGGCAGUCUUGAGUAUGGGAGAGGAAAGUGGAAUUCCGAGUGUAGGAGUGAAAUCCGUAGAUAUUCGGAGGAACACCAGUGGCGAAGGCGGCUUUCUGGACCAAUACUGACGCUGAGACGCGAAAGCGUGGGGAGCAAACAGGAUUAGAUA
rnacentral:rRNA from 1 species